CCUCAACAGGGGUUCCAUCUCGGGCGCGUGCAUGAACCCGGCGCGCGCCUUCGGCCCCGCGGUGGUGAAGAACCUGUGGGAGUCGCACUGGGUCUACUGGCUGGGGCCAUUCCUCGGGGGCCUACUCAUAGGCGCCCUCGUGCGGCUGCUGCUGGGCGACAGACGACGCCGAAUCCUGUUCAAGUGAAGAGGAGGAGGACGCGCACGACCGUCCCGCCCGCAGGUCAACUCAGCCUGAAAUCACUCACGGCCGACAUCAGUGGCGAAUAUUCCGAACCGAUGGGGUGGAGGGGGGGCCUCCUCCCUAAGGUCAUGCUCCUUGGUGCGGUGUGGCUGCUGAAAAUGGGUAAAAAAAAACCUGAAAAGAACAUCGGCUACGGAGAGACAAAGGCGGCCGGGCGUGCUUUGCUGCCCGGAUGCACCAGAACCUUAAUAGGUGCUCGCUAACAGCGCUUAACUCGGCCGUCCUUGAGGGCGAACGGGACAUAUUCUACUCUUGUAUAUAACACGCGAAUGCACACACAGAUAUCAACUUUUAUAUACGUGACAUAUAUAUUUCGAAAAUUAGCUUAAUGCUCAUUAAACAUUAUUUGUAUUGAACCCACGUCAAGCCAUAAGCGGUGGGGGAGGGGUGGGUUGGGGUGGGGCGGUGUAAUGAUUAAUCGAAUCGUACCAAUUCUUAUGGAUUCCGCGUGCGCGUGGCGGAUUGAGACCAUCCGAUUCAAAUAAUCGAAUCGAGGACAGAUCCUCCGAUAAAUAAAUCACGGGCUCCCAAUUCGUGUGCAUCGCAACUCACGCACGCGAGUUCAUGUACAUUCAUGUAAAAAAAGAAAGACAAAGAUCCCCCUUAAAGGCUCGACACGCUUGUGGGGCAAGUGCUGCUCUCGCGCACUUUUAUAUCUACAUACACACACGUACUAUGCCUUCAUGCAGCAGUGGACUGACCACGGCUGAUGAUUUGAACGCUCGGACAAAUAAGUGAGGAAGGACCAUUGCCCGAAAACGUCGCCUGUUAUACAUCCAGGCAGUGGUUAUUGCGAACGGUCGUGUGUUUAUUGUUACACCACUGGCCACACAGCGUCACCAACUAUUUAGCAAAUGUUGUUUACCAGGCGAGACCAGGCCACAGACGAUAGCUUAACGGAGUGGAGACAUCUUUGGCAGCCAACUAAUCUAAACGCGCGACGUUGACUCUAAAUGUAGAAGGGGGAAAACCGGAGGCCCCGGAGAAAAAUCCACGCGACCACGGGGAGAGAGAGAGAGAGACACGCAAACUCCAAAUAUACAGCAGCAGGCAUCGUCAGGGUCGGGGUCGAACCCACGACCUCCUGCGUACCAGGCGAGGUAGUUAACAUCUCCGAGCCACCGUGAUGAUGAUGAUGAUGAGAGAGAGACACGCAAACUCCCAAUAUACAGCAGCAAGCAUCGUCAGGGUCGGGAUCGAACCCACGACCUCCUGCGUACCAGGCGAGGUAGUUAACAUCUCCUAGCUACCCUGAUGAUGAUGGUGAGAGAGAGACGCAAACUCCAAAUAUACAGCAGCAGGCAUCGUCAGGGUCGGGAUCGAACCCACGACCUCCUGCGUACCAGGCGAGGUAGUUAACAUCUCCUAGCCACCGUGAUGAUGGUGAGAGAGAAAGACGCAAACUCUAAAUAUAAAGCAGCAGGCAUCGUCAGGAUCGGGAUCGAACCCACGACCUCCUGCGUACCAGGCGAGGUAGUAAACAUAUCCUAGCCACCGUGAUGAUGGUGAGAGAGAAAGACGCAAACUCUAAAUAUAAAGCAGCAGGCAUCGUCAGGAUCGGGAUCGAACCCACGACCUCCUGCGUACCAGGCGAGGUAGUAAACAUAUCCUAGCCACUGUGAUGAUGGUGAGAAAGAGAGAGAGACGCAAACUCCAAAUAUAUAGCAACAGGCAUCGUCAGGGUCGGGAUCGAACCCACGACCUCCUGCGUACCAGGCGAGGUAGUUAACAUCUCCUAGCCACCGCGGCGCUCAGUAAGGCAGUGUUUCACCUCCCGUGGGAAGCUCCACAUCAUACACAAAAGCAAAACAUACACAAGGGUCGGAAACAAGAAAAUCAAUCCGUCUCUCCCCAAAUUCAAAAAUCGACCCCCAGUGAGUUUUAGUUUUCAGUCAGCGGCGAGGGGUCCUGCCGUCUGGCGCGCCCUCUAGCGGACGGCGACAUCAGCCGACAGUGGCAGAUCGUGGCCCCGGAUUCAGCGAAGCGCGGGGCCUCAGCAUAUGAUGUUAUAAAGGGGCCUUAAAUAAAAUAAAAAAUACACGUAAAUAUUAAAACACUAAUUAUGUAACUUGCGCAGUAAAGUAAUUGUAUGUUUUUCAUUUGCUAUACAGCCAAAUCAUACGACCGAUCACUAACCUUAAACACCCAGUCGUUCAUAGAAGUUAAAGGCGGUAUAGUACUAAACUAAUAGAGCAAGUGCAGAAUUGAUAGCUUGAGAGCAUUUAGCGCGGGGCCCUUGAAAGUGCGGGGCCCUUGAAAGUAUGUGUAGCUACUUGUGCUACUCGGAUAAUUAUCCUACUCCUCCUCCUGCUCCUACCGUGGGGUGUAUUCACUGCAACCUUUUCGUCGUUUGCAGUUUCCACUCUUCCUCUCGCCGUCCCGUCGUGGCAAAUGUGCUCACGCAGUGUGCGCCCAUCGUCUUUCGAGGCGCCAAUCUCUUCCGUGGCAUCGUCGUCAAGACAUUCUCCGUGACGUCCUCCUCCCUUUCCGGUUCCUUCCAAUUUUUUCGAACAGCAACAGUAACAACACCACCACCACCACUUUUCAUAUCCCUGUCCCGGUUGUUGUUAUUGUUGUUGUGGGCCAUUCGAUAGACGUGUCCACACAGUGACAAUCUCCUUCUCAUCAUCGCGGCGUCGUCAUCGUCGUCUUCUUCUUCUGCCACGUGAUAGCUUUCUCUACCUCCUCCGGUUAGCGUGGAUGGCUCCGUACGGCGCGAAAGAAGUUCAACGUGCACGCAUUGUAACAAUGGUCACUCAUUUUCUUGGUUCUUUCGGUAAAGUCAGCGUCUGUCUUUCCGACAGCCCUGUUCUUCACCUGAGGACGGCUGCUUGCGUUGUGGCCGAAACGUCGUGAGAAUUGUAUUUUAUUAUGUUUUAGUUUUAUUAUUUUAUUAAAUCCCUUCUACGUGACUUCACCGAAAGAACCAAGAAGAUGAAUCCCUGCUGCAGUCACGAAAGAAGCUUUACAUCGAAAUUUAAUGGUCACUCAUUUCGGGGUCCGGCUUCGACGCAGCAGCGUCACCGCCGUGGCAAAUACUUCGUGAAUUCGAGUGCCAACGGUGGCACGGGGCAAGCUAUUGCAUGGAUGCGCCUUUACCUUAACGAGCAAUUUGUAGCGAUACUAGAGGGUGUACACACACGCACGUGCGUUUUUUAAAAAUUCGAUCAUUAUUUGGAUUUCGUCACGUCGGCAGGCAUGUACCUCCUCUCUCUUUUGAAGAACCUCACGGGCCCUUUUUUGUUGUUGUUUAACGCACGGUAUGUAAUAUAGUAAAGUAUUUAAGGUUAGUACACACGCAGUAUUAACCGGGGCGGACGCGCGUUUCGAACCGCUAAAAAUAUAUAUUAACCCUCUACAGCCAAGCGACGAACGCGCGCCACCGUCUGAGCCGCGUCGCCCGUCGCUGUAACGAUGUUGACGGAUUGUUGAUCGGCGUACUAAUAAAGGCAUCAUCAACUCC